rnacentral:rRNA from 1 species
UUGGGGUGAAAGUCCCGGGGCUCAACCCGGAACUGCCUUACAAACUACCCAGUCUAGAGGUCGAGAGAGGUGAGUGGAAUUCCGAGUGUAGAGGUAGAAAUUCGUAGAUAUUCGGAGGAACACCAGUGGCGAAGGCGGCUCACUGGCUCGAUACUGACGCUGAGGUGACGAAAGCGUGGGGAGCAAACAGGAUUAGAUACCCUGGUAG